UUCUCCUCUCUGUACCUCCGUCUGGCUUCUCCUCCAUGAUAGGAGUAUAAAAAGGAGUAUAGUGCCAUGAUUGACAGCUCUGUUGACAGCAAACGUCUUCCUUCAACAAAAGCCCCACUGCUGACACGACCUUCACGACACAGACCAAACCUCCUCAAGAAUCCACUUCGUUUCAGGAGCUCUUCCUGGGGAAUACCAGUAGUCCCGUCAUGUCUUCAGUAUUAUCUGUCCUUUACAGCGCACUACCGUUCCUUUACAACUCCUCUGUUUAUCCACAAUCAAUGUGGCCAAUACAGGGGCGUAUUAGGGGCAGUAAGUAUAUUGUAAAUGAAAGUUUAUGGUAAAAUGGCCCAUAAACACGCGGCUGUAUAAGUCUGGAUGAGGUGCCGCGAGAGAUGAUUCUGUGAGCGUUUAUGGACGCUGGCGAGAGGUGAGAGUUAUUUACUCACUUUGUUGUCUUUUCCUUUUAUUUGCAGUAAUUAUUCGACCUGUUUAAGAUGCUGUAAACAUUUUUGAUUGAUGUAAACCCAUUUUUAUAUCUUUCAUGGAUUUCAUGUGGUGUUACAGUUAGGAAUUCUCAAAGGUCAUCCCGCACACUAAAUAAAUAUUUGGGUUUUAUUUUGUUCAAACGUAACGCUUCAUCCUUAAGUCUAAGGGAACAAGUUGGUCACAGUUGCGUUAUACUGUCGACCAUUUUGUUUUGGCGAGGUGAAAGCGUGCCCUGAAAUGGCUGCCACCUCCGUCAGACUGAUGUCACUGUUUGGAGGAGUUUCAGUUCAAACACACAGCACCUGUUUGAUUCUAUGCGUGUGUGUUUGUGUGCGGAUGUGUACGUGUAGUUUCCAGGAAGGACUCACUGAUCUCAUCUCAUAUUGAUACUGUUCAUGAUAACUACCUUUUUUCCGGGGAACAACAUCUUUAACGUCCGUGGAAGUGAAGGUGGAAAAUCUGAUUUCUCUCAACAACGUUAUUAUUAGAUUGACUACAUUUGAAGACAGUUAAAAACGUUUGUUCACAUUUGUUGCAUAGUAACAAAUGUCUAAUAGCUCGACGAUUAUUUCGCAGCUUGUCCUCGACACCCUGAUCCUCGGCGGCCUCUGACUCGCUGCCAGGUGAACGUUUGACCUCGGUGAUAACAGUCGAGGAUGUUGUUCCUCAUUAACAAAGUCAGUGCUCCACAAGAGAGCCGAGCUGAACGGCCUCGGUCAUAAAACCACUCUUUUAACUCUGAGUAGUUUUACAUUCAGUCGCUGUUUACGAGUCAAACGAAAGGAAUCGACUCCGGACCCUCUGUACCUUUGAAUGCAAGAAAUGUCACUACAAAUCUAAAAAUGAACAAAGAGUAAGAACCACACAUUUCAGCAGGUAUCUGUGAAAAUGACACUGUACUCCAGUUAGUCUUAUUUAGGUUUUUAUUUAUCUGGUGCAGGAUUUAUUCAGCAUUAUUGACAUAUUAUUGAUAACAAGAUGAGGAUAAGGAGUGCACACCUUUUGAUUUGUAUUAGCCUUAAGAAUUUAAAGCCAUCAUUCUGUACGCCUUUUAAGAUGCAAUAAUGACCGAAUGUCCAAUAAACACUCAAAACUGCACAGAAAGCACUCGUCAUAAUACUCCUUUUACCAACAGUUGAAUUCACAUGUAUAUAUAUUUGUUUUAAACAUGCGCAGCAAGUUUCAUUAUUCAAAGUGCUAUAGAAUAAUGUUUUAUUUUAAUUCAGUUGCAGCUGAAGACUCAAAAACAGUUCACCUGGUCAUCAAAGUAUUGAUCAGAGCGCCUCA